rnacentral:rRNA from 1 species
GACGAACGCUGGCGGCGUGCUUAACACAUGCAAGUCGAACGGAAAGGCCCUGCUUUUGUGGGGUGCUCGAGUGGCGAGCGGGUGAGUAACACGUGAGUAACCUGCCCUUGACUUUGGGAUAACUUCAGGAAACUGGGGCUAAUACCGGAUAGGAGCUCCUGCUGCAUGGUGGGGGUUGGAAAGUUUCGGCGGUUGGGGAUGGACUCGCGGCUUAUCAGCUUGUUGGUGGGGUAGUGGCUUACCAAGGCUUUGACGGGUGGCCGGCCUGAGAGGGUGACCGGGCACAUUGGGACUGAGAUACGGCCCAGACUCCUACGGGAGGCAGCAGUGGGGAAUAUUGCACAAUGGGCGGAAGCCUGAUGCAGCAACGCCGCGUGCGGGAUGACGGCCUUCGGGUUGUAAACCGCUUUCGCCUGUGACGAAGCGUGAGUGACGGUAAUGGGUAAAGAAGCACCGGCUAACUACGUG